rnacentral:rRNA from 1 species
AUUGAACGCUGGCGGCAGGCCUAACACAUGCAAGUCGAGCGGAUGAAGGGAGCUUGCUCCUGGAUUCAGCGGCGGACGGGUGAGUAAUGCCUAGGAAUCUGCCUGGUAGUGGGGGAUAACGUCCGGAAACGGGCGCUAAUACCGCAUACGUCCUGAGGGAGAAAGUGGGGGAUCUUCGGACCUCACGCUAUCAGAUGAGCCUAGGUCGGAUUAGCUAGUUGGUGGGGUAAAGGCCUACCAAGGCGACGAUCCGUAACUGGUCUGAGAGGAUGAUCAGUCACACUGGAACUUGGACACGGUCCAGACUCCUACGGGAGGCAGCAGUGGGGAAUAUUGGACAGUGGGCGAAAGCCUGAUCCAGCCAUGCCGCGUGUGUGAAGAAGGUCUUCGGAUUGUAAAGCACUUUAAGUUGGGAGGAAGGGCAGUAAGUUAAUACCUUGCUGUUUUGACGUUACCAACAGAAUAAGCACCGGCUAACUUCGUG